AAUUUUAAUUAGAGAUAAAAUGGUAAAACAAAACAAUCAAUUUCACUUUCCCACUUCCCACUCUCCACGUCUCCUCAUUGCAGUUACAAUAUACACCGAAAUCCCCUCUGUAUCUACAUAACUCCCACACAGAGAAGACCCCAAACGAAACAACGAUACAGACCUAUCUUCCACAGAGAUCUCCAUGGGACACGGUGAAAAGGGUCGCCAUAGCAAAAAGCACAAAUCUUCUUCCAAGGAGGAUCAUAGGCCCACAGUUGUAGAAGACGAUGACUCCUAUUAUGUUGAGGAUUUAGAUGAUGAUUAUCGUGAUGGUAUAACUCUGAAUUUAAAUUGAAUUGAUUUUUUUGGAUGAUUUGGAUGACCUGAGUGAGUGAAUUGUGUGUGUAUAAUAGUAUAGAUGA